AGAGUUUGAUCCUGGCUCAGAACGAACGCUGGCGGCAGGCUUAACACAUGCAAGUCGAACGAAGGCUUCGGCCUUAGUGGCGCACGGGUGAGUAACACGUGGGAAUAUACCUCUCGGUGGGGAAUAACGUUGGGAAACUGACGCUAAUACCGCAUACGCCCUUAGGGGGAAAGAUUUAUCGCCGAGAGAUUAGCCCGCGUCCGAUUAGCUAGUUGGUGAGGUAAAAGCUCACCAAGGCGACGAUCGGUAGCUGGUCUGAGAGGAUGAUCAGCCACACUGGGACUGAGACACGGCCCAGACUCCUACGGGAGGCAGCAGUGGGGAAUUUUGGACAAUGGGGGAAACCCUGAUCCAGCCAUGCCGCGUGUCUGAAGAAGGCCUUCGGGUUGUAAAGGACUUUUGUCCGGGAGGAAACCCUGAUCGUUAAUAGCGGUCGGGACUGACAGUACCGGAAGAAUAAGCACCGGCUAACUACGUGCCAGCAGCCGCGGUAAU
rnacentral:rRNA from 1 species